GGGCUGUCGUCAGCUCGUGUCGUGAGAUGUUGGGUUAAGUCCGUAACGAGCGCAACCCUUGUCCUUAGUUACCAGCACGUUAUGGUGGGCACUCUAAGGAGACUGCCGGUGACAAACCGGAGGAAGGUGGGGAUGACGUCAAGUCAUCAUGGCCCUUACGGCCUGGGCUACACACGUGCUACAAUGGUCGGUACAAAGGGUUGCCAAGCCGCGAGGUGGAGCUAAUCCCAUAAAACCGAUCGUAGUCCGGAUCGCAGUCUGCAACUCGACUGCGUGAAGUCGGAAUCGCUAGUAAUCGUGAAUCAGAAUGUCACGGUGAAUACGUUCCCGGGCCUU
rnacentral:rRNA from 1 species